CGGACGUAGGUAACCUGCCUGGUAGCGGGGGAUAACUAUUGGAAACGAUAGCUAAUACCGCAUAAGAGCAUUUACUGCAUGGUAGAUGUUUAAAAGGUGCAAAAGCAUCACUACCAGAUGGACCUGCGUUGUAUUAGCUAGUUGGUGAGGUAACGGCUCACCAAGGCAACGAUACAUAGCCGACCUGAGAGGGUGAUCGGCCACACUGGGACUGAGACACGGCCCAG
rnacentral:rRNA from 1 species